rnacentral:rRNA from 1 species
AUUGAACGCUGGCGGCAGGCCUAACACAUGCAAGUCGAACGAGUGGCGGACGGGUGAGUAACAUUUAGGAAUCUACCUCGUAGUGGGGGAUAGCUCGGGGAACCUCGACUUACUACCGCAUACUAUUAGAUGAGCCUAAAUCAGAUUAGCUAGUUGGUGGGGUAAAGGCCCACCAAGGCGACGAUCUGUAACUGGGCUGAUAGGAUGAUCAGUCACACCGGAACUGAGACACGGGCCGGACUCCUACGGGAGGCAGCAGUGGGGAAUAUUGGACAAUGGGGGCAACCUGAUCCAGCCAUGCCGCGGGUGUGAAGAAGGCCUUUUGGUUGUAAAGCACUUUAAGCAGGGAGGCGUUACCUGCAGAAUAAGCACCGGCUAACUCUGUGCCAGCAGCCGCGGUAAUUC